rnacentral:rRNA from 1 species
CCUACGGGUGGCAGCAGUGAGGAAUAUUGGUCAAUGGGCGCGAGCCUGAACCAGCCAAGUAGCGUGAAGGAUGACUGCCCUACGGGUUGUAAACUUCUUUUAUAAAAGAAUAAAGUUAGACACGUGUGCCUUUUUGUAUGUACUUUAUGAAUAAGGAUCGGCUAACUCCGUGCCAGCAGCCGCGGUAAUACGGAGGAUCCGAGCGUUAUCCGGAUUUAUUGGGUUUAAAGGGAGCGUAGAUGGAUUGUUAAGUCAGUUGUGAAAGAUUGCGGCUUAACCGUAAAAUUGCAAUUGAUACUGGCAGUCUAGAGUAUAGUUGAGGUAGGCGGAAUGCGUGGUGUAGCGGUGAAAUGCUUAGAGAUCACAAAGAACUCCGAUUGCGAAGGCAGCUUACUAAUCUGCCACUGACAUUGAUGCUCGAAAGUGUGGGUAUCAAACAGGAUUAGAUACCCGUGUAGUC